CCUGAUCCAAUUAUGUUGCAUUUCUUUCCCUUUUGAACUCCUAAACUAACCUGUAUUUUUUCCUUUCACAGGCCCAGAGCUAAAUUAAGUGUCUGAUACACCCAAAAAAUUCCUAACUUACCACUGCUGACUAGAUUGGGAGUUGACAACACCUAAAAUGACUGCCAGAGGGCCAUCGCUGGCACUUGUUGCAUUCAAGUAAAGCCAAUCUUAUCAGGGCCAAUCAGGAAGUUUUCACACAACGGCAUCCUAUUUGCUUGCAGAACUAACAAAUUAGAACAGGAGCUUCGGCAGAUCUGAAAUCUAGGCGCAGCUGAUCUUGACUAAACUGGAGGAUGGGAGGAAGGUCCCAGGACUGACAGUUCAAACACUUCGACUGAACACACGGCUGCCACAGACUGAAAAAAGGCAGUGAACCCACAACUUCCAAUUAAAUACCACCCAAGAUUGUCAGUAUAAUACAGUCACUUGUAGAGGCUGCAUGACAGCAGCAAAUGUAACUGGAGCCGUAGCUCUUGAGUGCCAGGAAUUACAGCCUCAAGCAGGACUUCGCUGAGGGUACUGGCGGGAAGGCCUGGGCAAAACAAAAGGAUUGGAAACCUCCAUUUUACAUCAAUAGCUAUGGUAGUUGCAGGGAGGAAAACUAUGAAAGCUAAAGUAGCUCCAGAUAUUGAAGAUGAUUUGCCAGUAUAUGCAGGGCAGAGAAUUCCAGCACAAUGUUGCCUAAGCAUUGGGCAUCUUCCCAUCCUAGCACUGCCAUAAUGGAAGGAGACUAGAAGAUGAGUUCCAAAAGACCUUCUAAGUCUCUCAAACUGAUUGUGGAUGGGACCAACUGGCAAGUUUCAAAGGUUCAGCAGAAGAAAGCAAGGUUCAGAAAGAUAGCAGAACCAAGCAGGAAAUGUAGGUGCAAUGAUUGUGCUUUCAUUAUUGUCCAUUUAAACUGCUCAGGUUAUAGGAAAUAAGAGAGUAGAAUUGAGAUUUGGUCAAAGCCAGUUGUGCAUCUAAACUGUCCUGCAAUGCAAACAAGAAAGAAACACAAUCUUGUGUUUUGGAGUAAUGCCCAAUAGCUUGCGCUAACAUGUUCAAGAGCAAGGGAUGUAACCAUUAUAAUCCAGAUAUCUGUGGGCACCAGGUGGUCUAUCCCAGCCUCAAACAUAUUUUAUAGAGAGGAACUCGGAGUAACAGGAAAGCUUCUGCUUUUAUAUAUUCUUCUUUAAUCUUCUAGUGUUCUUCUGAUUGCAGCUGACAAAAAUCCACAGUGCAAAUUACUUCCAUUUUGAGACAUUGCAGCUGCAGUAUAAAUGCUAAAAUAGUCUUCACAUUUAAAAUAAUAAAGGAAAAAAACCCACAAAGCUCAUCAAAAAGAAAAAAAAUCAAGGAGAAAAAAAACAAGAUCCCAGGACUGCAUACCUGAGCUAUUACCAAAGAUCCCUCGUGCAUGCCAAAUAUUAAGCUGACUCCUAGGCGCUAAGAGUUGCCCAUCAGUUUGAUGAAGAUUGUCCCUGUGUAUCUCACUCCUAAAUCCAUCUUUGGCUUGUCAAAUACGGCUGCAGAUCUGACCUUGCAAAGGCCAUGAACAAAAUCUUGCCAUAUGAUGCCAAACUGGAGCAAGUUCAAAUCCUGUUCUCCCUGCAAUAUGCUCCCGUGAUUUAUGGUAACAUUUCUUCCAAACUGGAAAUUACCCUUGCAAAUUGCUCUAAUCUUUGGAAGCAAAGAUAUUGACAGUUUUAAAAAAAACAAACACACCAAAUAAAUUACUUUUUCUAGAGGGUCAUAUGAAGAUGAAUGAGAUUUGGUUUGAUGGUUACAACAAAUUGUACUACAUAAUUGCAUUCAUAUUAGAAUAAAAUCCUAUACUUGUCU